UGGGAUAUAUCGCCCGUUGCUGGGUGAUUGGGAUCCGUCCUGACCUCCCCCGCCAUGCGCCACGUCCAUGCGAGAGUCGGUGAGGGCUCGGGAUGUUGGCUCGAUGUUGGCUCGAUGUUGGCUCGAUGUUGGCUCGAUGUUGGCUCGAUGAGCCCGAGUCCCUACCUACAAACUUAAGGGAAGAGGGGAUGAGAGAUAUUUCGCUGAUGAUAUCACUACAGUUCUUGAAAUUCUUCGAUUAUUGAUUCCGGAGAGCUGCACAGCUUAGACUUGGAGUCUUCAGUGGUUUCAGAGAUAUCGAUCCUAGUUGGUGUCCUCGUCAAGCCUAAAAGUCUACUCCCCGCCUAAAAAAUGCUUGGCGCGGGGACGGCUUCGAAAUUUGCCUUUCCUGGCACCGCUGUCGCUGUCACCCCUCGCUUGGGGUGCCAUCGAGUUCGGUUGGUAGCUCUCCUCGGUUGGUCCUUG
rnacentral:sRNA from 1 species